rnacentral:rRNA from 1 species
UACGAAGGGGGCUAGCGUUGUUCGGAAUCACUGGGCGUAAAGCGCACGUAGGCGGAUGUGCCAGUCAGGGGUGAAAUCCCGGAGCUCAACUCCGGAACUGCCUCUGAUACAGCACGUCUUGAGUUCGAGAGAGGUGAGUGGAACUCCGAGUGUAGAGGUGAAAUUCGUAGAUAUUCGGAAGAACACCAGUGGCGAAGGCGGCGCACUGGACCACAUCUGACGCUGAGGCGCGAAAGCUAGGGGAGCAAACAGG